UACGUAGGGUGCGAGCGUUGUCCGGAAUCACUGGGCGUAAAGGGCGCGUAGGCGGCUUCUCAAGCGUGUGGUGAAAGUCCGGGGCUCAACCCCGGAUCGGCCGUGCGGACUGGGGAGCUCGAGUUCUGUAGAGGCGGGUGGAAUUCCGGGUGUAGCGGUGGAAUGCGUAGAGAUCCGGAAGAACACCGGUGGCGAAGGCGGCCCGCUGGGCAGAGACUGACGCUGAGGCGCGACAGCGUGGGGAGCAAACAGG
rnacentral:rRNA from 1 species